CUUGGCUUUGGCUCAGAGAUAGAAAUGUCCCUCCUCUGCAGUGAGUCGUUGGCCUCCGAUACACAUUCCCACUCUCUGUUUUCCCCUUUUCGAGAACGUUUAGUCUUUCCAUUCUUCCCAGCUUUGGGAUUUUUUUUUUCUCUUGAUCCUUCACCUUCUCAAUAGUCUCUCAUCUUUAAAAAACAUGGCUAGAGAAGGAAACCCAAACAGACCUCCCUCUAUAGCCCAUAUAAGGGACCAGAGGGGAAUGGGGACUCAUUAUCAUAAUCCUGGCCCCCAUGAAGAAAGCUGAUGUAAGAGGGCAUCCCUGUGGACCGAGAUAACGGAGUGGUUUUAAGGGAUAGAGAAGGCAAAGUCAGAGAAGGUGGCAGAAGGACUUUAUCUUCCAGAAACAUGCUAUUUUGGACCACAGAAAUAUUUAAUGAGGCCUCCCUGGGACUGCCCUUGUCAGGACAAUGGAAAGUUUCUGGCCAGAAAUAUCAGAAUUGGUGUCUCCAACGACAUCAAGUAUGUAGCGGGCUCUAAAAAAGUACUUGUUGGAAUGAUGAUAGGAGUUUGUUUGUUAAAGGGUAUGUGACAUCCUAUGGGAAAAUAGUGUGUUGAGUGUAAACUUAUUUGCAAAGUUACAGGUUAUGGCAGGAU
rnacentral:lncRNA from 1 species